GCUUGUUCUUUUUACGUUUUUUUUUCUUUUCAAUUUUUUCUUUCAGG
rnacentral:ribozyme from 1 species